UAAAGUCAUCCCCCACCGGCACUCGCUGCAAUCCACUCUUCUCCGCCCUCCUUUCCUAUUUAACGUGGCUUCUGUGAAAGCCCCAGCCUGUCUCAUCUGUACCAGGAACAACGGAGGGUUUUUGAACUUUGGGUUCUGACUGCCAGGGCAGACUAUUCCAGAAUAAUUGGAACACACCUGAGGCCAGCAGAGCAGAGUGCUAACGGCAGGAAGAAGGGCCCAGGUGAAAUGCAGGAAAGUAGAAUGAAGAGGGCUGGGGUUAAAGACGGAAGCUGAAGUUCCCAGUCAGUGGAUUGAAAUGUCGUGGAGUGAUAUUGGUCUGGCCGGGCAUAAGUGCUGUCCUCUGAUGCAUGUCUGCCUUCGAGGUUCCUGAAGCUUCCUGUCUGCUCCCGAGGAAGCAGCUCUCAUUUGCAUUGACUUCCCACAACUUCCUCCAG